rnacentral:lncRNA from 1 species
ACAACAUUAGGAGACCCUGUUGCUUAAAAAAGUUAAAACAAAUGAGAAUCCAUUAUUCUCUUUCUUCCCCCAGCGGCUGAUGAAGAGAUGACCCUUCCGUCCUGAGGUUUGUUUGUUUACCUCAUGCGGUGGCGUGUGGGGCGUUUCCUCCUGGGAGACUGCGCUCCUGCUGCUCGGAGCAGGUUUGCACUUGCUUUCCUCUUCUGGCUGGUUUUUCUUGAGCGAACCCUAGGAGUAGACACAGCUGAGUCACAGGUGCUGUUCCGAGGAUGUAGGAAGCUUGUUGGAGGCCUGGGGCAGAAGCCUGUCCA